rnacentral:rRNA from 1 species
CCCCAGCGCCACAAGUGGUUAUCACGAUUAUUGGGCCUAAAGCGUUCGUAGCCGGUUUGGUAAAUCUCUUGUGAAAUUGUUCGGCUUAACCGGACAGCGUGCAGGAGAGACUGCCAAGCUCGAGACCGGGAGGCGUAUGAAGUAUGUCGUGGGGACUGGUAAAAUGGGAUAAUCCACGAUAGACUACCGAUGGCGAAGGCAUCAUACGAGAACGGAUCUGACGGUGAGGAACGAAAGCUAGGGGAGCGAACCGG